UGAUUAUUUUAUUAAAAGUAUAGGGUUAUUUUUUAGAAAAUAUUUUUUAAGUGAAAAAUGUUGUUGAAGAUUUUGUUUUAAUGUGAUCGAUGGGAAGGUUGGGAAAAUGAUGUUUUGUUUUAUUAAAACUUUAAUUUGUAAGUUUAAUGAUAAGUAUUUUUAUAAAGAAAUAGAUAAAAGUGAUGUGAAUUGGGAUGUUUUAGAUUUUUAGAGUAUUUUUAGGAG
rnacentral:misc_RNA from 1 species